rnacentral:rRNA from 1 species
CCUACGGGGGGCAGCAGUGGAGAAUAUUGCACAAUGGGGGAAACCCUGAUGCAGCAACGCCGCGUGAGCGAUGAAGGCCUUCGUGUCGUAAAGCUCUGUCCUAAGGGAAGAAUACUGACGGUACCUUAGGAGGAAGCCCCGGCUAACUACGUGCCAGCAGCCGAGGUAAUACGUAGGGGGCGAGCGUUAUCCGGAAUUACUGGGCGUAAAGGGUGCGUAGGCGGCCCUUCAAGUCAGAGGUGAAAGGCUACGGCGCAAGCGUAGUAAGGCUUUGAAACUGUAGGGCUUGAGUGCAGGAGAGGUGAGUGGAAGUCCAAGUGUAGAGGUGAAAUGCGUAGAUAUUGGGAGGAACACCAGUUGCGAAGGCGGCUCUCUGGACUGUAACUGACGCUGGGGCACGAAAGCGUGGGGAGCGAACAGGAUUAGAUACCCGAGUAGUC